AUGAACGCUGGCGGCGUGCCUAAUACAUGCAAGUCGAGCGAACAGAUGAGGAGCUUGCUCCUCUGACGUUAGCGGCGGACGGGUGAGUAACACGUGGAUAACCUACCUAUAAGACUGGGAUAACUUCGGGAAACCGGAGCUAAUACCGGAUAAUAUAUUGAACCGCAUGGUUCAAUAGUGAAAGACGGUUUUGCUGUCACUUAUAGAUGGAUCCGCGCCGCAUUAGCUAGUUGGUAAGGUAACGGCUUACCAAGGCAACGAUGCGUAGCCGACCUGAGAGGGUGAUCGGCCACACUGGAACUGAGACACGGUCCAGACUCCUACGGGAGGCAGCAGUAGGGAAUCUUCCGCAGUGGGCGAAAGCCUGACGGAGCAACGCCGCGUGAGUGAUGAAGGUCUUCGGAUCGUAAAACUCUGUUAUUAGGGAAGAACAAAUGUGUAAGUAACGAUGCACGUCUUGACGGUACCUAAUCAGAAAGCCACGGCUAACUACGU
rnacentral:rRNA from 1 species